GAUGAACGCUGGCGGCGUGCCUAAUACAUGCAAGUCGAGCGAACGGACGAGAAGCUUGCUGUUUUGAUGUUAGCGGCGGACGGGAGAGAAACAUGUGGAAACCCCACCUAUAUGACUGGGAAAACUUCGGGAAACCGGAGCUAAUACCGGAUAAUAUUUUGCACCGCAUGGUUCAAAGGUGAGAGACGGUCUUGCUGUCAGUAAUAGAUGGAUACGCGCUGCAUUGGCUAGUUGGUAAGGUAACGGCUUAUGAAGGCAACGAGGCGUAGCCGAAGUGAUAGGGUGGUAGGCGACACUGGAACUUGGACACGGUCCUGAGGCCUACGGGAGGGAGCAGUAUGGUAUGGGCCGCAGUGGGCGAAAGCAUGACGGAGCGACGCCGCGUGAGAUAUGACGGCCUUGGGAUCGUAAAGCUCGGUUAUGAGUUAUGAACAGAUGUGUAAUGUACUGUGGCCAGCGUGACGGUAACGGGUCAGAAAGCAACGGCUAACUACGUG
rnacentral:rRNA from 1 species